GACCCCUUGGCGGAACCGGUAGACGCCGCAGACUUAAAAUCUGCUGUCCGAAAGGGCGUGCCGGUUCGAGUCCGGCAGGGGUCACCA
rnacentral:tRNA from 1 species